rnacentral:rRNA from 1 species
UACGGAGGGUGCGAGCGUUGUCCGGAAUCACUGGGCGUAAAGGGCGCGUAGGCGGCAUGCCAAGCGUGUGGUGAAAGCCCGGGGCUCAACCCCGGGUCGGCCGUGCGGACUGGCGUGCUCGAGCACUGUAGGGGCGGGUGGAAUUCCGGGUGUAGCGGUGGAAUGCGUAGAGAUCCGGAAGAACAUCUGUGGCGAAGGCGGCCAUCUGGACCAGCACUGACACUGAGGCACGAAAGCGUGGGGAGCAAACAGG